UACGUAGGGGGCGAGCGUUGUCCGGAAUGAUUGGGCGUAAAGGGCGCGUAGGCGGCUCGGUAAGUCUGGAGUGAAAGUCCUGUUUUUAAGAUGGGAAUUGCUUUGGAUACUGUCGGGCUUGAGUGCAGGAGAGGUAAGUGGAAUUCCCAGUGUAGCGGUGAAAUGCGUAGAGAUUGGGAGGAACACCAGUGGCGAAGGCGACUUACUGGACUGUAACUGACGCUGAGGCGCGAAAGUGUGGGGAGCAAACAGGAUUAGAUACCCUGGUAGUCCACACGGUAAACGAUGAAUGCUAGGUGUAGGGGGUAUCGACCCCUUCUGUGCCGCAGUCAACACAAUAAGCAUUCCGCCUGGGGAGUACGGCCGCAAGGUUGAAACUCAAAGGAAUUGACGGGG
rnacentral:rRNA from 1 species